GAAAUAAAUUUCUCACCAGAUAAAUUUGGGGACAACAGUGACCAUGACGUCUAAUGGUAGACAAGCAACUGAUGGACAGCAACAAACCUUUCAGGGCACUGACCAAUCAGAUCAGCAGGCUACAGACCAGACUCUGCCUCUUCAGGCAAAUGGGACCAAUCGAGGAGGACCUAGAGUGAUCCGGAUCACACAUCAGACGAUGGAGCCUGUAGUCAUGAUGCAGAUGAACAUUCAUGGUGAAUCAGCUGCAGGGUCUCAGAUACCAGGACAACCAAAUGCCGCAGCUACUCGACAACCUGGCACAGCACCUGCCCACUUCACAGAAUUACCUCCUGAGUUCAUGCAGGCAAUUGUGCACCAGUUUUCUCACCAACCCACUGCCAUGGCUGCUGCGCCCUCAUCAAGCCACCCAGUGCACAUGAUUUCUGGUUCUGACUCAACACCCAGUGCACAGACAGCUGCUUCACCGCUGCUCCCCAACACCCCUGUACAGGGUAGGGUAGUCCUCACCAGGCCAUCCUUGUCCACCCACAUCAACCAGCCUGUGGGAAAUACCAUCAACCUGAGGGCUACAGGUGGCCAGCAACCAGGACAGGGCAUGGCUCUGGGUCCCUCCUCUCUCACCCAGAUGAUCAGUGGUCUGGUUGGACAGCUUCUGAUGCUGGAGCAUCCAGGUGAUCCUUCAGCGAACUCUCAGUCCUCCCUGUCUACCUCUUCCAUGUUUGUUUCCAGCACUGCUUCUCCUCCCUUUCCCUCAGCUAACACAUCUGGACAGACAGCCACCCGCACCACAAGUACUACCUCAGUCGGUCAGCCAGGAGAGCCCAGCCCAGAGGGAAAUAUGGCUCAGCUCUUGGGAUCUCUACUGGGAGCAGCAGGGUUGGGUGGUCCUGGCUCUGGAUUGGCUCCAUCCAUCACUGUGACACUACCAGGGGUUCCUGGCUUCUUCCAGAGCGAGAGCGUGUCAGACUUGGCACCACCACCUGCCCCUGGCCCCAGGGCCUCACUUCUUCAUCAGACCAUUGGUCCUGCUCCCUCUCAGACCAGCAGCAGCCCAGCCGGAGACUCUCUGAGCCCAGAGCUGUUCUCUGGCAUCAUGCAGGGAGUGCUGUCCACCAUGAUGAGCUCUCUUGGGGCACAGCAGAGCAAUGGAGAAAGCAUUGCCCAGUUCAUCCAGAGACUGUCCCAGACCAAUAACCUGUUUGUUCCUGGCUCUGGGGAUGCAGUGGGGUUCUUUGGGGACCUGCUCUCCCUGGUGUGUCAGAGUUUCUCUAUGGUGGAUAUGGUGCUGUUGCUUCAUGGGAACGCCCAACCUCUGAGUCGCAUCCGGCCUCAGCUCACAGACUUCUUCACUGAACACUAUCUCCAGGAACAAGAACCUACUGAUGCCAACAUAGCUGCAGCAGCUGAGGACCUCAUCAAUGGACUUGAGCAUUACAUAGCUGAGAGCUUUGCCACAGUGACAGUGCGUGAGGGAGUGGACAUAAUUCAGACCAACCUGUCUUUCUUCAGACAGCAGUUCACGCGAAUGGCCACACAUAUUCUUCGCUGCAACGAUCACAUGUUUGGCCCCCGCCUGCUGUUGCUGUGUACUCAAAGCCUGUUUGAGUGCCUGGCUCUUAACCUGUAUUGCCUGGGAGGAGAACACAGAGCUCUGACUGCUGUCAUCAACCAACACAUUGUUUGUAGGAGGAUGUCUGCAGAAGUCAAUCCCAGUCUGGUGAACUGGCUGACCAGCAUGAUGUCUAUGAGGCUGCAUAUCAUUCUGGAGCACAACCCAGUUACUGAGGACCAAAUCCAACAUUACAUUAUCCAUUUACAGGAAGAGUUGGGCCAGAGGACGGAGACUGAGGUGGAACAGCCAUCAGAGUGUGCAAGUGUGGAGAUGGAGGAGAGUUCGUCUCCAUCUGCAGCCACUACAGCAGAGGAGGCCAUGGUUUCCACUGGAGAGGGAGAAGCACCUCCAUCUGGUUCAUCUGUGGAUGGUUCAUCUCAGUGCUCCUCUGGGCCCCAAGCAGGACAGGACGAAGUGUCUCCUGAAAUGGAGCCAUGGGCAGCAGCUGUUCCACCUGAAUGGGUUCCCAUCAUCAGACAUGACAUGCUGUCUCAGAGGAAGAUCAAAGCCCAGCCCCCACUGUCUGAUGCGUACCUGCAUGGGAUGCCUGCUAAGAGAAGGAAGACGAGCCAGUGUGAAGGACCGCACCUGUCCCUGUCGGAGGCAGUUAGUCGAGCUGCUCGUGCUGUGGGAGUCCUGCCUGUCUCUGCCCCAAACAGCCUGCAGGUGGAGCUGGAGAGCCCAGAGAUACAGGCCGCUUACACCAAACAGGUAAAGUGUGACAUCACAGAAAGAGUGAGAGAUGAUCCAGACUUUACCGGCCAGAGAUUCCCCAACACACAUCGAGCUUUCUCUAUAGAAGACUCCUAGUCCCAGUCAAACAGCUUGUGCCACAGAGGAGCGGGAUGGGGUGAUGAAACCUACCCUGCAGCGUGAGACCUGAAUACAUGUAAUGUGGCAUAAGCAAGGAAGACAGCUGCUGACUUCACUUCCUCCUCUCCUGUGUCAUGGAGACACAAGCUGCUGUAGUUUGUUUAGAAUGGGAAAAUCUGCAGACUCUUGCUAAAACACCCCACCUCCGACACCUCUGAGAAGGACCUGGUAGAAUGACCUAACAUCAGUGCAGAAGCAAACCGAUCCACAGGAUUCAAAAGGAUCUAGCUUAAUGUCAGAACUAAUCCUCUGUGGUAUGCAGUUUCUAAUCAGUGUGGGCCGUCAUACCAACGCUGGAGAUAUUAUUAGUAUAUUACUGUAUAUUAGUUAGUGUUGGUGUCACUGUUAGGAAAGAACAGAGUCAGAAUAUUCUGAAAAUAAAGUUUCAUUAAUCUGUGAAACAGAUGCACAGUGAAUGUGUAAUCUGACCAUGUAAAAGAAUGUCAGAAUUAUAAAGAUAUCAAAUAUUGAGGUAAAGGCAUCGUGCUUAAUAUUAGGAGAAAAAGUGUUACAAUGUUGUUAACGAAAAAAAUAUUUUAUGAGAUAAAGUGUAUUUAUUGUUAUAGUAAACAGUGAUGGUGGAAAAAACUUGUAUGAGGCAAAAAAAAAACAGGUGAGCACAAAUUUAUGCUAAAAAAGAAUCACAUGUUGUAUGAACUUCUUAAACUAUUCUGCUGUCAAACAGCAGUGGUCCUGAUACACUGUAAUACUGAGCAGUUCUGCCCUGUGUUAUAAAUGCAUAGUAGCAUAGAGCUUUGUCAGUUGCACUUUACCUUACCAUAUAAAGAAUCGUGAUUGUUGUUAGUAUUUCCAUGUCAGCUUUGUAUUAUUUUCACAUCUUAUCAAUGUCAGUGAAUCACAGGCUUGCACAUUUUAUUUUUUUGUAUUUUAGAGCAUUACGUGUAAUUGACUCUGUUGUUGAGUAAUACAGGAUACAGCCCGUUCGGUGAUAUUUGUCUGAUGUUAGAAAAGCUUUGUCAAACUGUCAACUGUUACUACCUGCUUGAUAACGUCACUACAAUAAAUCCACUUUUAAAUCA